CAGCCGCCACGGUAAUACGAAGGGUGCAAGCGUUACUCGGAAUUACUGGGCGUAAAGCGUGCGUAGGUGGUGGUUUAAGUCCGUUGUGAAAGCCCUGGGCUCAACUCGAAGUCUGCACCGAAAACUGCCGGGCUUGAGUAUGGGAGAGGUGAGUGGAAUUUCCGGUGUAGCGGUGAAAUGCGUAGAUAUCGGAAGGAACACCUGUGGCGAAAGCGGCUCACUGGACCAUUACUGACGCUGAGGCGCGAAAGCUAGGGGAGCAAACAGGAUUAGAUACCCCCGUAGUCCCUGUCUCUUAUAC
rnacentral:rRNA from 1 species